AGUGAACGCUGGCGGUAGGCCUAACACAUGCAAGUCGAACGGCAGCACAGGAAGAGCUUGCUCCUAAGGGUGGCGAGGGGCGGACGGGUGAGGAAUACAUCGGAAUCUACUUUUUCGGGGGGGAUAACGGAGGGAAACUUACGCUAAUACCGCAUACGAUCUACGGGUGAAAGCAGGGGAGCAUGGGAGCUUGCGUGAUAGAAAGAGCCGAUGUCGGAUUAGCUAGUUGGCAGGGUAAAGGCACACCAAGGCGACGAUCCGUAGCUGGUCUGAGAGGAUGAUCCGCCACACUGGAACUGAGACACGGUCCAGACUCCUACGGGAGGCAGCAGUAGGGAAUCUUCCACAAUGGGCGCAAGCCUGAUCCAGCCAUACCGCGUGAGUGAUGAAGGCCUUCGGGUUGUAAAGCCCUUUUGUUGGGAAAGAACAGCAGCAUAUUUAUCCCCCGCUGUUCUGACGGUACCCAAAGAGUAAGCCCCGGCUAACUUCGUG
rnacentral:rRNA from 1 species